rnacentral:rRNA from 1 species
GUAAGGAAUAUUGGUCAAUGGACGAAAGUCUGAACCAGCCAUGCCGCGUGAAGGAUGAAGGCCCUCUGGGUUGUAAACUUCUUUUAUCUGGGACGAAAAAAGGGUAUUCUUACUCACUUGACGGUACCAGAGGAAUAAGCACCGGCUAACUCCGUGCCAGCAGCCGCGGUAAUACGGAGGGUGCAAGCGUUAUCCGGAUUCACUGGGUUUAAAGGGUGCGUAGGUGGGUAUUUAAGUCAGUGGUGAAAUCUCCGAGCUUAACUCGGAAACUGCCAUUGAUACUAUUUACCUUGAAUGCCCUGGAGGUAAGCGGAAUAUGUCAUGUAGCGGUGAAAUGCUUAGAUAUGACAUAGAACACCAAUUGCGAAGGCAGCUUACUACGGGGUGAUUGACACUGAGGCACGAAAGCGUGGGGAGCAAACAGGAUUAGAUACCCCUGUAGUCC